UAGCGAAGGGGCUAGCGUUGCUCGGAAUCACUGGGCGUAAAGGCGCGUAGGCGGCCAUUCAAGUCAGAGGUGAAAGCCCAAGGCUCAACCUUGGAACUGCCUUUGAUACUGUUUGGCUUGAGACCGGUAGAGGUAAGUGGAACUGCGAGUGUAGAGGUGAAAUUCGUAGAUAUUCGCAAGAACACCAGUGGCGAAGGCGGCUUACUGGACCGGUUCUGACGCUGAGGCGCGAAAGCGUGGGGAGCAAACAGGG
rnacentral:rRNA from 1 species